AUUGAACGCUGGCGGCAUGCCUUACACAUGCAAGUCGAACGGUAACAGGUCUUCGGAUGCUGACGAGUGGCGAACGGGUGAGUAAUACAUCGGAACGUGCCCGCUCGUGGGGGAUAACGAGGCGAAAGCUUUGCUAAUACCGCAUACGAUCUACGGAUGAAAGCGGGGGAUCUUCGGACUUAGCGCGGACGGUGCGGCCGAUGGCAGAUUAGGUAGUUGGUGGGUUAAAAGCUUACCAAGCCGACGAUCUGUAGCUGGACUGAGAGGAUGAUCAGCCACACUGGGACUGAGACACGGCCCAGACUCCUACGGGAGGCAGCAGUGGGGAAUUUUGGACAAAGGGCGAAAGCCUGAUCCAGCCAUGCCGCGUGCAUGAUGAAGGCCUUUGGGUUGUAAACUGCUUUUGUACGGAACGAAAAGCCUCUUUCUAAUAAAGAGGGGUCAUGACGGUACCGUAAGAGUAAGCACCGGCUAACUACGUG
rnacentral:rRNA from 1 species